GUGUCGUAUGAAAGGAGAGAGAGUUAGUACUUCCAUUGCUAAGGAUGGAAGGAGGUCUAGUGCUCUCAUAACAUAUAAAUGAUUGAGGCAUUGCCAUCUACUUAGGUGCAUCUUUGAUUUUGU